UACGGAGGGGGCUAGCGUUGUUCGGAAUUACUGGGCGUAAAGCGUGCGUAGGCGGUUCGUUAAGUUCGUUGUGAAAGCCCCGGGCUCAACCUGGGAAUGGCAAUGGAAACUGGCGGGCUGGAGUAUGGCAGAGGGGGGUGGAAUUCCGCGUGUAGCAGUGAAAUGCGUAGAGAUGCGGAGGAACACCGAUGGCGAAGGCAGCCCCCUGGGCCAAUACUGACGCUGAGGCGCGAAAGCGUGGGGAGCAAACAGG
rnacentral:rRNA from 1 species